AUUUGUUUGUUGUCACGUCCUGAUUCUUUUGAUUCUUUUUUUUAACUUCAUUUGUAAACACUUGUGGAUUCUUUACUUAAUAAGAAUUGAAGAUAUAAACAUGUAUUUACAUCACAUAGGGGUCUAAAUGUUUGAAAAACAAUCCUUUUUAUUUACUCAAUGGUCUGAUCCUGAUGACAUAAUUUUACCUGUUGGAGGAGGUGAUUAAAGUGACAUCAUGUACCUGCAGGGUUUAGUAAAAAACAGCAACAAGAAAAGGAAGACGAGCCAGCUCUUAUUCCAGGCCACAGAAUGUUUUAAAGUCACUUUUUGUAGUGUUAAGUAAGGUACAGGGUCGUCUUCUUU